GGGUGAGUAACGCGUGGGAAUCUACCCAGUUCUACGGAAUAACGCAGGGAAACUUGCGCUAAUACCGUAUACGCCCUACGGGGGAAAGAUUUAUCGGAAUUGGAUGAGCCCGCGUAAGAUUAGCUAGUUGGUGAGGUAAUGGCUCACCAAGGCGACGAUCUUUAGCUGGUCUGAGAGGAUGAUCAGCCACACUGGGACUGAGACACGGCCCAGACUCCUACGGGAGGCAGCAGUGGGGAAUAUUGGACAAUGGGCGCAAGCCUGAUCCAGCCAUGCCGCGUGAGUGAUGAAGGCCUUAGGGUUGUAAAGCUCUUUCAGUAGGGAAGAUAAUGACGGUACCUACAGAAGAAGCCCCGGCUAACUUCGUGCCAGCAGCCGCGGUAAUACGAAGGGGGCUAGCGUUGUUCGGAUUUACUGGGCGUAAAGCGCACGUAGGCGGAUCGUUAAGUCAGAGGUGAAAUCCCGGAGCUCAACUCCGGAACUGCCUUUGAUACUGGCGAUCUCGAGUCCGGAAGAGGUAAGUGGAACUCCUAGUGUAGAGGUGGAAUUCGUAGAUAUUAGGAAGAACACCAGUGGCGAA
rnacentral:rRNA from 1 species